rnacentral:rRNA from 1 species
GCGGCGUGCUUAACACAUGCAAGUCGAACGGAAAGGCCCUGCUUUUGUGGGGUGCUCGAGUGGCGAACGGGUGAGUAACACGUGAGUAACCUGCCCUUGACUUUGGGAUAACUUCAGGAAACUGGGGCUAAUACCGGAUAGGAGCUCCUGCUGCAUGGUGGGGGUUGGAAAGUUUCGGCGGUUGGGGAUGGACUCGCGGCUUAUCAGCUUGUUGGUGGGGUAGUGGCUUACCAAGGCUUUGACGGGUAGCCGGCCUGAGAGGGUGACCGGCCACAUUGGGACUGAGAUACGGCCCUGACUCCUACGGGAGGCAGCAGUGGGGAAUAUUGCACAAUGGGCGGAAGCCUGAUGCAGCAACGCCGCGUGCGGGAUGACGGCCUUCGGGUUGUAAACCGCUUUCGCCUGUGACGAAGCGUGAGUGACGGUAAUGGGUAAAGAAGCACCGGCUAACUACGUGCCAGCAGCCGCGGUGAUACGUAGGGUGCGAGCGUUGUCCGGAUUUAUUGGGCGUAAAGGGCUCGUAGGUGGUUGAUCGCGUCGGAAGUGUAAUCUUGGGGCUUAACCCUGAGCGUGCUUUCGAUACGGGUUGACUUGAGGAAGGUAGGGGAGAAUGGAAUUCCUGGUGGAGCGGUGGAAUGCGCAGAUAUCAGGAGGAACACCAGUGGCGAAGGCGGUUCUCUGGGCCUUUCCUGACGCUGAGGAGCGAAAGCGUGGGGAGCGAACAGGCUUAGAUACCCUGGUAGUCCACGCUGUAAACGGUGGGUACUAGGUGUGGGGUCCAUUCCACGGGUUCCGUGCCGUAGCUAACGCUUUAAGUACCCCGCCUGGGGAGUACGGCCGCAAGGCUAAAACUCAAAGGAAUUGACGGGGCCCCGCACAAGCGGCGGAGCAUGCGGAUUAAUUCGAUGCAACGCGUAGAACCUUACCUGGGUUUGACAUGGAUCGGGAGUGCUCAGAGAUGGGUGUGCCUCUUUUGGGGUCGGUUCACAGGUGGUGCAUGCCUGUCGUCAGCUCGUGUCGUGAGAUGUUGGGUUAAGUCCCGCAACGAGCGCAACCCUUGUUCACUGUUGCCAGCACGUUAUGGUGGGGACUCAGUGGAGACCGCCGGGGUCAACUCGGAGGAAGGUGGGGAUGACGUCAAGUCCUCAUGCCCCUUAUGUCCAGGGCUUCACGCAUGCUACAAUGGCUGGUACAGAGAGUGGCGAGCCUGUGAGGGUGAGCGAAUCUCGGAAAGCCGGUCUCAGUUCGGAUUGGGGUCUGCAACUCGACCUCAUGAAGUCGGAGUCGCUAGUAAUCGCAGAUCAGCAACGCUGCGGUGAAUACGUUCCCGGGGCUUGUACACACCGCCCGUCAAGUCAUGAAAGUUGGUAACACCCGAAGCCGGUGGCCUAACCGUUGUGGGGGAGCCGUCGAAGGUGGGACUGGUGAUUAGGAC